rnacentral:lncRNA from 1 species
AAUUAUGUAAUCGAAGCUCGAUGAGUCUGCUUUCAUGAGGAGGUAACGAAAAGAUCAUAUGGGCAGUAUAUUAAGAGAUAAUCAGAUUUUAGUGGGACAGGGCCAGAACGGUUUCUGGAUUCCCUGCUCCGACUUUGGAAAUUCAUUAUAAAUUAACCAGAGAUAAUUAGGGGUCGUACCAUAUAUGUACAGAUUCCUCUCUGAGUCUAGUUUUCAUAGAAACAAACGGAAACAGUAUUGAAGCCCCGUGAAGGGAGAUAUCCAAGUCGUAAUGGGCAAAGGUCAGUGUAGUCGACCCCUGCAACUUGGGGGACUUUGACUAAUAAACUGUACUAAUUGGCCCAACCAAAAAUUCUAUAAAAAAAUACAUAGAUGGGCACAUGAGUCUAGUUUCUGGGAAAAAUUACGAAACUGAUUUUUGAGUUACGAAACUCAAGAUAUGAUUUUUAAAACGACUAGUACACAGAUUGGGCAGUGUCUGGAAAAUAAAUUUUGUAAGAGGUUAAAGCCAGUUAACACCUCGUGUUCGACUCCGGUGUCGGUUUCGGGUUCGGGGUGUUACAUUCUUCUUCCUUCAUCUUCAAAUUUUCAAAGGCCCUUCUCAAAUUCAAGAGUUGUUGCUGUCUCAUUCUUUUAGUCCCUUAAAACUCCUCCUUGAGCUUAUCCCAGGCCUGUUUUUGAGACUCACAAGCCAUGAUUCUUGUGAAGGUCAAGUCUGACACACUGUUUUGGAUGCAUGACAUUGCUUUGUAUCUCUUGGAUCUAUCAUCAGAAUGCUGCCUGAUCUGAGCCACAGUGGUGUUGGCUCUCAAAGGUGGUGGUUCAACUUCCGAGUUGACAACCUCUCACAAAUCAAAUGCCUACAGGUAGGUCUUUAUUUUCACUACCCAAAUGUAGUAGCCUUCACCAUUGAACACAGGUGGUGGAGCUGGAGAGAAACUGGAUGAAGACAUGGUUUUGAGGAUUGAAAAAAAAUGACAGGAUGAUAAAUUUGAACUAAGAAAAUAGAAUGAUAAAUUUGACAGAAACUUGAGCUAGAAGGUUUGAUGUCUUGCUGAGGAAAACAUUCAAGAUUAGCUUAAGAACUUGAGUAAAAAAAAAAACCAGAGAAUGAAGAAGAAUUUUUGAAAGAUUUCAUUACGAAUGAAUUGAGGCAUAAAGCCAUUACAUAUAUCAGUCAAUAAGCUAGUCAAAAUAAACAAAUGUCACCUAAACAUUUACCUAACACCACUAAGUAACCUAGUAAAUUGAUAAACAUAACUUGCACACAUAGUAAAGCUGACUUAUCAAUCCAUCAUUACCUAAUUACAUCAAAUAUGUUACCAACUUAGUUCAAAUCUAACUAACUAACAAAGUAUUUCCUUGAAGAACAAAAUCAGCAACAUAGGCUCUAGUUGCAACAUGCAUGGCUCAGGCUACAUGGUCUGCUCCUUGUGCUACUCCCAUGUAACAGUGUGAAACUUUUGAUGAAGAUGUCGUUGGAUUGACAAAUCUGUUGGAUAAAGUAUUUAGAGGCAAGGUGUGGGGAUUUACAUAGUGGAAAAGAGGAUGGGGAUGGGCUCCCACAACAUCACCAAGCACAUGUGCUUCAGUUGGUUAAUACCAAACAUGAAGUGACGAGACAUGCUUUUGGAAUGACCCAUACAAUGCAAGAUUUGGAAAGAGCGUUGGCUAAUCAAUUUAGUGUGUAUAUAUAAGUCUGCAUGCAC